rnacentral:rRNA from 1 species
AUUGAACGCUGGCGGCAUGCCUUACACAUGCAAGUCGAACGGCAGCACGGGAGCAAUCCUGGUGGCGAGUGGCGAACGGGUGAGUAAUAUAUCGGAACGUGCCCGGUCGUGGGGGAUAACGUAGCGAAAGCUACGCUAAUACCGCAUACGAUCUAUGGAUGAAAGCGGGGGAUCGCAAGACCUCGCGCGAUUGGAGCGGCCGAUAUCAGAUUAGGUAGUUGGUGAGGUAAAGGCUCACCAAGCCGACGAUCUGUAGCUGGUCUGAGAGGACGACCAGCCACACUGGGACUGAGACACGGCCCAGACUCCUACGGGAGGCAGCAGUGGGGAAUUUUGGACAAUGGACGCAAGUCUGAUCCAGCCAUUCCGCGUGCAGGAUGAAGGCCCUCGGGUUGUAAACUGCUUUUGUACGGAACGAAAAGGUUUCUCUUAAUACGAGGAGCUCAUGACGGUACCGUAAGAAUAAGCACCGGCUAACUACGU